UAUUCUGUAGCUUAGUUGCUUAAAGCGUUGGUCUAGCGAAUAUAGAUGUUGUGGGCUCAAACCCCACCAGAAUGU
rnacentral:tRNA from 1 species